rnacentral:rRNA from 1 species
CUAACGAGGAUUUCCUUAGUAACGGCGAGUGAAAAGGAAAAAGCCCAACGCUGAAUCCAAUAGAUAUUUGUCUAUAUGGAAAUGUAGCGUAUAGGUGUAACUAUCCGUAACAUAUUUUUACACCCAAAGUCCCCUUGAGCGGGGCUACAGUCCAUAGAAGGUGCUAGACCUGUACGGGUGAAAAAAGUUACGGUAGGUUAUUCCUUGGAGUCGGGUUGUUUGAGAUUGCAGCCCAAAGAGGGUGGUAAACCUCAUCUAAGGCUAAAUACGACCACGAGACCGAUAGCAAACAAGUACCGUGAGGGAAAGUUGCAAAGAACUUUGAAGAGAGAGUUCAAGAGGGCGUGAAACCGCUGAGAUGGAAACGGAUAGAGUUAACGAAACUUAUCGGUAUUCAACCAAUCAAUUUAGCAAUCUUAAUUGAUUUAUUAUUCAUUAAUAUUUUUUUAUUAAUGAAUAAAAUGAUAUUUAAGAUAUGAAUGCUAAAUUUAUAAUAUAAUGAUUGGUGUAUUUAUCGAUGGUAUGCAUCGAGAGCUUCGUUUUAGCAUAUUAAUAUAGCUAAUUUAGUGGAUCAAUUAUUUCAAUUGAUAAUUGAAACCCUAAAUCUAUUGAAAUAUGUCUUAAAUGAAGUUUUAAUCCCAUAUGUGUAACUUUCACUUGAAAUAAUAGUGACAUGCAUCGAUUAUAAUUUUUGCUAAUUACAUUUACAUGUGGUCGCAUGCGACUUUAUCGGUAAAUGUUGAUGAAAUAAUUGGUAAUAUUAUAAUAUUGUAUGCAUUAUUAAAAGUUACAUCUCGAUGUGAACGUUAAUCACCUAUCUGACCCGUCUUGAAACACGGACCAAGGAGU